rnacentral:rRNA from 1 species
AGAAUCAACGCUGGCGGCGUGCCUAACACAUGCAAGUCGAACGCGAAAGCCCCGCAAGGGGUUAGUAGAGUGGCAAACGGGUGAGUAACACGUGGGUGAUCUGCCUCAGAGUGGGGGAUAACGACCCGAAAGGGUCGCUAAUACCGCAUAACAUCCUGCCUUUGGAUAGGUGGAGAUCAAAGCUAGGGAUCGCAAGACCUGGCGCUUGGAGAGGAGCCCGCGGCCGAUUAGCUAGUUGGUGAGGUAAUGGCUCACCAAGGCAACGAU